GAUCCUGGCUUAGGAUGAACGCUGGCGGCGUGCUUAACACAUGCAAGUCGAACGGAGUUUUAACGGAAGUUUCGGAUGGAAGUUUAGAAACUUAGUGGCGGACGGGUGAGUAACGCGUGGGUAACCUGCCUCAUACAGGGGGAUAACAGUUAGAAAUGACUGCUAACACCGCAUAACAUAGCGAAACCGCAUGAUUUUGCUAUCAAAUAUUUAUAGGUAUGAGAUGGGCCCGCGUCUGAUUAGCUAGUUGGUGGGGUAAAAGCCUACCAAGGCGACGAUCAGUAGCCGGCUUGAGAGAGUGACCGGCCACAUUGGGACUGAGACACGGCCCAAACUCCUACGGGAGGCAGCAGUGGGGAAUAUUGGACAAUGGGGGAAACCCUGAUCCAGCGACGCCCGCGUGAGUGAAGAAGUAUUUCGGUAUGUAAAGCUCUAUCAGCAGGGAAGAUAAUGACAGUACCUGACUAAGAAGCCCCGGCUAACUACGUGCCAGCAGCUGC
rnacentral:rRNA from 1 species